GGGGGUCCCCCUAAAAAUGAGGGGGGCUCUUAAAGGGCCACGGGGGAUUUAUUUUGGGGGGUCCCCAAAAAUGGGAGGGGGGGGGAUUUAAAGGGACAUUGCAGAGUUUUUGGGGGGUCCCCUAAAAAUGAGGGGGCUCUUAAAGGGCCACGGGGGAUUUAUUUUGGGGGGGUCCCCAAAAAUGGGGGGGGGUUAAGGAUAUGGGGGAUUUAUAUGGGGGGGGGGGUCAAUAGAAUGGGGGGGGUCUCAAAGGGCCAUAUGGGAUCGGGUUUAUAGGGUUACGGGAUUGGGAUUAUGGCGUUAUGGGAUUAUGGGGUGGAUUAUGGGAUUAUGGGGUGGAUUAUAGGAUUAUAGGGUGGAUUAUGGGAUUAUGGGGUGGGAUUAUGGGAUUAUGGGGUAGGAUUAUGGGAUUAUGGGGUGGGAUAAUGGGAAUAUGGGGUGGGAUUAUGGGAUUAUGGGGUGGAUUAUGGGAUUAUGGGGGGGAUUAUGGGAUCACAGCUUUGGAACGCUGGGAUUAUGGGGUCGGGGUUGGGAUUAUGGGGCUGGGAUUGGGAUUAUGGGGCCGGGAUUGGGAUUAUGGGGUCGGGAUUGGGAUUAUGGGAUACAGGGGUGGGAUUGUGGUAUUAUGGGAUGGCAUUUCCUCUACGAGCUCCAGAUUUGAGUCCAUUUUUGUGGCCCUGAGGCGAUUUCUGCUGUGCCCGAAAGGGGGGGGAAACGAACCACGGUGGUCGGGGAU
ensembl:lncRNA